rnacentral:rRNA from 1 species
GGGUUUCCGCCCUUCAGUGCCGCAGCUAACGCAUUAAGCACUCCGCCUGGGGAGUACGACCGCAAGGUUGAAACUCAAAGGAAUUGACGGGGGCCCGCACAAGCGGUGGAGCAUGUGGUUUAAUUCGAAGCUACGCGAAGAACCUUACCAGGUCUUGACAUCUUGCGCCAACCCUAGAGAUAGGGCGUUUCCUUCGGGAACGCAAUGACAGGUGGUGCAUGGUCGUCGUCAGCUCGUGUCGUGAGAUGUUGGGUUAAGUCCCGCAACGAGCGCAACCCUUGUUACUAGUUGCCAGCAUUCAGUUGGGCACUCUAGUGAGACUGCCGGUGACAAACCGGAGGAAGGUGGGGACGACGUCAGAUCAUCAUGCCCCUUAUGACCUGGGCUACACACGUGCUACAAUGGACGGUACAACGAGUCGCGAACUCGCGAGGGCAAGCUAAUCUCUUAAAACCGUUCUCAGUUCGGACUGCAGGCUGCAACUCGCCUGCACGAAGUCGGAAUCGCUAGUAAUCGCGGAUCAGCAUGCCGCGGUGAAUACGUUCCCGGGCCUUGUACACACCGCCCGUCACACCAUGAGAGUUUGCAACACCCAAAGUCGGUGGGGUAACCCUU